AACUCCUCUCACACGUUCGCUCUUACCCCAAAACCCUUCGCCCUCUUGCUGCUGCGCCGCCGCCGCACGCGAUUCCUCCUGCUCCCGUCGGCGGAAGCUAAUCCCCCACCAUCGCCUGCCUGCCGCGUGCGCCGAUCUCCAUCCUUGAGCAGCAGCGCGCGGGCGUCCUGCUGCUUCCGCCGCAUCCUCGCUCUCCGUUUGGGGUUGUUCAAGUGAAGCACCAUGUCCAGCGUUACCCCUGCUGCCGACGCGCAGCCACUCGAUGAGAAAGAGCUGGAGCGGAAGCUGAAGAAAGAUCAGAAGGCAAAAGAGAAAGAGGAAAAAAGGCUUAAGGCGAAGGCAAAGGAGGCGGCUAGGCUCCAGGCACAAGCAGCUUCAGAUGGACCUAAGAAAAGCGAGAAGAAGCAAAGGAAGAAAGCUGUGGAGGAUGAGAAUCCUGAGGAUUUCAUUGAUCCAGACACUCCUCAUGGGCAGAAGAAAUUUCUUGCAUCUCAAAUGGCCAAGCAGUAUAGCCCAACUGCUGUUGAGAAAUCAUGGUAUUCCUGGUGGGAAUCAUCAGGAUAUUUUGGGGCAGAUGCUGCAAGCUCAAAGCCACCAUUUGUUAUAGUUUUGCCACCUCCAAAUGUCACUGGAGCGCUUCAUAUAGGCCAUGCACUUACGGUGGCUAUAGAGGAUUCCAUGAUACGCUGGCGGAGGAUGUCAGGUUAUAACACUCUGUGGGUUCCAGGAGUUGACCAUGCAGGAAUCGCUACUCAGGUUGUAGUGGAGAAGAAGCUUAUGCGUGAAAGGAAUUUGACAAGGCAUGACAUAGGGCGUGAAGAAUUUGUAUCUGAAGUUCUCAAAUGGAAAGAUGAAUACGGGGGUACCAUAUUGAAUCAAUUGCGUAGGCUUGGGGCCUCACUUGAUUGGUCCCGCGAGUGUUUUACAAUGGAUAAACCAAGAUCAAAGGCUGUAACUGAAGCUUUUGUCAGGUUGUACAAACAAGGCCUGAUAUAUAGGGAUUAUCGCCUCGUGAAUUGGGAUUGCACCCUUCGAACAGCAAUUUCUGACGUAGAGGUUGAUUAUCUAGAGAUUAAAGAGGAAACUAUGUUAAAGGUUCCUGGUUAUAAUACAACUGUACAAUUCGGUGUGUUGAUCUCUUUUGCAUAUCCACUUGAGGAAGGAUUGGGUGAGAUUAUUGUCGCAACAACAAGAAUCGAAACAAUGCUUGGGGAUACAGCCAUUGCUGUUCACCCUGAGGAUGGCAGAUACAAGCAUCUGCAUGGUAGGUAUGCAAUCCAUCCCUUCAAUGGCCGAAAGCUCAAAAUAAUCUGUGAUGCUGAGUUAGUGGAUCCCACUUUCGGUACUGGGGCUGUCAAGAUUACACCUGCCCAUGAUCCAAAUGAUUUUGAGGUUGGAAAGCGACACAACCUUGAGUUCAUCAAUAUCUUCACAGAUGAUGGAAAAAUAAACAACAAUGGAGGUGCACAAUUUGUAGGAAUUCCAAGAUUUACUGCUCGAGUUGCUGUUAUUGAGGCACUGAAGGCAAAGGGCUUGUACAAGGAGACAAAGAAGAACGAAAUGAGUUUGGGUGUUUGUUCAAGAACUAAUGAUGUGGUGGAGCCUAUGAUAAAACCCCAAUGGUUUGUUAAUUGCAAUACCAUGGCACAAGCAGGUAUUGAUGCUGUAAGGUCCAAAAGAAUUGAGAUUAUUCCACAACAGUAUGAGCAAGACUGGUAUAGAUGGCUUGCAAAUAUACGUGAUUGGUGUAUUUCGAGGCAGCUUUGGUGGGGACAUCGCGUUCCUGCUUGGUAUGUUAUACUAGAAGAUGAUCAAGAGAAAAUUCUGGGUUCUGCUAAUGGCCGUUGGAUUGUUGCUAGAAACGAAAGUGAAGCAAACCUGGAGGCACAGCAAAAGUAUCCUGGGAAGAAAUUCGAGUUACAUCAAGAUCCUGAUGUGUUGGAUACAUGGUUUUCAUCUGGUCUCUUCCCAUUAACCGUACUUGGUUGGCCAGAUGAUACAGCUGACCUUAAAGCUUUCUACCCUGGUUCGGUGCUAGAAACUGGACAUGACAUUAUCUUCUUUUGGGUAGCACGGAUGGUGAUGAUGGGGAUGCAACUUGGUGGCGAUGUGCCAUUUGAGAAGGUUUAUUUGCACCCUAUGAUACGUGAUGCUCAUGGACGCAAAAUGUCCAAGUCGCUUGGUAAUGUCAUUGAUCCCGUUGAUGUGAUAAAUGGCAUUUCACUGGAUGGUCUCCUCAAACGUUUGAAAGAAGGCAAUCUAGAUCCAAAUGAAUUGAACAUUGCAACAGAAGGGAAGAAGAAGGAUUUUCCUGAUGGCAUUGCUGAAUGUGGUACCGAUGCUCUCCGUUUUGCACUGGUUUCUUACACUUCGCAGUCUGACAAGAUAAACCUGGAUAUCAAACGAGUUGUUGGAUAUCGACAGUGGUGCAAUAAAUUAUGGAAUGCCAUUCGUUUUGCAAUGGGCAAGCUUGGCAAUCAUUACACUCCCCCUGCAACUAUUUCUGUAACUACAAUGCCACCCAUAUGCAAAUGGAUAUUGUCAGUACUUAAUAAAGCUAUUGGCAAAACUGUCACCUCGUUAGAAGCAUACAAAUUUUCUGAUGCUACAUCUGCUAUAUACUCGUGGUGGCAGUACCAACUAUGUGAUGUGUUCAUAGAAGCUAUAAAGCCUUACUUCUUCAAUGACUCUCAAGAGUUUGAAUCAGCAAGAGCUGCCUCUAGAGAUGCCUUAUGGGUUUGCUUAGACACUGGUUUGCGCUUGCUCCACCCAUUCAUGCCUUAUGUUACAGAAGAGCUCUGGCAGCGUCUUCCUCAGCCUAAAGAUUCUUGUCGGAAAGAUUCCAUUAUGGUAUCAGAGUACCCAUCUGUUGUUAAGGAAUGGACGGAUGAUAAACUUGAAAAUGAGAUAGAUAUUGCCUUAGAUACUAUCAACAAACUAAGAUCUCUGAAGCCACCAUCUGAUACAAAUGAGAGACGACCUGCUUUUGCACUUUGCCGAGGCCAAGAGAUUACUGCCACCAUUCAGUGUUAUCAGUCUCUAGUUGUGUCUCUUUCUUCCACAUCAUCUCUAAAGAUCCUGACAGAGAAUGAUGAAACGCCACCUGACUGUGCAACAGCUGUUGUAAACAAAGAUUUGUCUGUAUACCUUCAACUCCAAGGAGCUCUCAAUGCAGAAGUUGAGCUUGAAAAGCUGAGGAAAAAGAGAGAAGAAAUUCAAAAGCUCCAACACGCACUGUCACAGAAAAUGGAAGCUUCUGGUUACAAAGAGAAGGCUCCACAGAAUGUCCAGGAGGAGGACAUGAGAAAACUCACUAGUUUUUUUGAACAGCUAGAGAUUAUCAGUGAAGCUGAAAAGAAGCUAGAUGCAAAAACUGGCAAUAAUUGACCCAGAAAUCUCUGAUGUGAUUUUGAAGAUGCACAUUUGUUGAAGUUUAUCUCAAAUUUUUUGCAUGGUUACCUUAAUCAUACCUGAAUGCCCAGCUGUCUAUGCUAUGGAAGAGAAGAAAUGCAGCAUUCAAAAGAGAUGCCUACCCGAUACAAUCUUCCUAUAGUAAAGUUGUUACUUCCUGCUUGUGGUAUUGUUAGCAAGUCCUGCAAGUCUCAAAUGACAAGACAGUGCUAAGCAACUUGUAUCAUAUCGUUGAUUUGCUGCUCUGCUUUCGGGGUUCCAGGGAUGUUACUUGUUUGGCAUGGCACCAGCUUCCAGGGAGUUGGAGCCCAGCGAGUCUAGGUUACUUCACAGCUCUUUAGAAAUUGGAGUUCUAUCAAACGGACUUAUUUUUCAGUGUUUUUUUUCCUUAGUGGAGAAUGCUUCAUGCUUAUUUUUAUUGUGGAAAACCGUUCUUGCUGCUUUUUUUUUUGUGAUUAUAUGUCACUGUUUUAACCAGUUUACUCCAUGACCUGACAAAACUGAACCGUGUGAGACCCAACAAAAUGUGUAAUUGAUUUGAACACGGUUAGCCCAUGAUG